rnacentral:rRNA from 1 species
AUUGAACGCUGGCGGCAUGCCUUACACAUGCAAGUCGAACGGCAGCGGGGGAGAAGCUUGCUUUUCCUGCCGGCGAGUGGCGAACGGGUGAGUAAUACAUCGGAACGUGCCCUGUAGUGGGGGAUAACUAGUCGAAAGAUUAGCUAAUACCGCAUACGACCUGAGGGUGAAAGUGGGGGACCGCAAGGCCUCAUGCUAUAGGAGCGGCCGAUGUCUGAUUAGCUAGUUGGUGGGGUAAAGGCCUACCAAGGCGACGAUCAGUAGCUGGUCUGAGAGGAAGAUGAGGCACGCUGGGACUGAGACACGGCCCAGACUCCUACGGGAGGCAGCAGUGGGGAAUUUUGGACAAUGGGCGAAAGCCUGAUCCAGCAAUGCCGGGUGUGUGAAGAGGGCCUUCGGGUUGUGAAGCACUUUUGGCCGGAAAGAAAUGGCUCUGGUUAAUACCCGGGGUCGAUGACGGUACCGGAAGAAUAAGGACCGGCUAACUACGUGCCAGCCGCCGCCGUAA